rnacentral:rRNA from 1 species
GACGAACGCUGGCGGCGUGCCUAACACAUGCAAGUCGAGCGGAGAAUGCAGCAAUGUAUUCUUAGCGGCGGACGGGUGAGUAACGCGCGGGCAACCUGCCUCACACAGGGGGAUAACACUGGGAAACUAGUGCUAAUACCGCAUAACAUCAUCGGGUGGCAUCACCUGAUGAUCAAAGGAGCAAUCCGGUGUGAGAUGGGCCCGCGUCCGAUUAGCUAGUUGGUGGUGUAGAGGACCACCAAGGCGACGAUCGGUAGCCGAACUGAGAGGUUGAUCGGCCACAUUGGGACUGAGACACGGCCCAGACUCCUACGGGAGGCAGCAGUGGGGAAUAUUGCGCAAUGGAGGAAACUCUGACGCAGCAACGCCGCGUGAAGGAUGAAGGUCUUCGGAUUGUAAACUUCUUUAGUCGGGGACGAAGAAAUGACGGUACCCGAAGAAUAAGCCACGGCUAACUACGUG